CCUGGCGUCGAGCCCCACGCACAAGACCUGAUGUGAACGUUUUGUUCGUUCGGCUCGCGUUAGGCAGGU
rnacentral:pre_miRNA from 1 species